CGCUAUUUCUUUGGGCCGUUUCCGCGGCAUAUGGAGGUUCCCAGGCUAGGGGUCCAAUCGGAGCUGUAGCCACUGGCCUACGCCAGAGCCACAGCAACGCGGGAUCCGAGCCGCGUCUGCGACCUACACCACAGCUCACGGCAACGCCGGAUCGUUAACCCACUGAGCAAGGGCAGGGACCGAACCCGCAACCUCAUGGCUCCUAGUCAGAUUCGUUAACCACUGCGCCACGACGGGAACUCCAAGGCGUGAUUCUGAUAAGAGACCUGGGAUACCUCACGUUGUCUUGUCCUUCACAAGAAAGGUACCGAAGUUCCUACUGUGGCUGGCUCAGCGGUAAGGAGCCUGACUAGUAUCCAUGAGGAUGCAGUUUUGAGAUCCCUGGCCUCACUCAGUGGGUUACAGACACAGUGUUGCCAUGAGCUGUGGUGUAGAUAGCAGAGCACAACUCAGAUCUGGCAUUGCUGUGGCUGUGGUGUAGGCCAGCAGCUGCAGCUGAUUCAACCCGUAGCCUGGGAACUUCCAUAUGCCUCAGUUGGCUCCCCUCUCUUCUACCCUGAAGAGGUAACAAUUGUUGCCAAUUCAAGACAGCCCAAUAAAAAAUGCUUGAGGAUAUUUUCAGUAGCAGAGAAGUAACAAGUAAAUGCUCUUAUAGCCCAACUAAAAUAAACAAAGUUAAACCCCUCAUUCAGGGUACCAAUGGUAAUACUCCCUCCCAGCUUAGCUUCCCAGUCAAAGACCCAAGGAUCUCAAAGCACAAUUCUUUUUUUGUUUGUUUUUUAAGGUCGCACUGGAGACAUAUACCACCGCUCACGGCAACACUGAAUCCCUAAUCCACUGAGCGAGGCCAAGGAUUGAACCCACAUCCUCAUGGAUCUUAGGUUCGUUAACUGCUGAGCCACGAAGGGAACUCCCCACAAUUCUGAUAAGAGACAGGAGAUCCCUUAUGAGGUACCUUUAGGUAGACUAUAAAUGUCAGAUGAAUGAGUUACUGAUGUUGAGAGUUAUCUUAAAUUUGGCAUUUCCUGAACUAAGCAUUUAAAGUGGCAACUUAAUACUGCAUUUAAUGAGUAUUUUUAUGUUCAUGUUCGACAAAAAAACCUUAUGUUCAUUUGCCCAUCUUCUGGGCUUCUAUUUCUGCAGGCCAUACAAACCAAAAAUAUGUUGAUGUCAUGUGCAGCUUCACCUAAGCAAUUUUAACCUGGCCCCUCCUAAAUCAGUCAUUAAGACUCUGUUGGAGGAGGAGUUCCCAUGGUGGUGCAAUGGAAACGAAUUUGACUAGUAAUCAUGAGGUUGCAGGUUCGAUCCUUGGCCUCACUCAGUGGGUUAAGGAUCCAGCAUUGCCUUGAGUUGUGGUGUAGGUGGCAGAUGUGGCUCAGAUCCAGCGUUGCUGUGGCUCUGGCUGGCAGCUGGAAUUCCGAUUAGACCCCAGCCUGUGAACCUCCAUAUGCCAUGGGUGUGGCCCUAAAAGACCAAAAAAAAAAAAGACUCUAUUGGAGUAAUUCCUGCUCUGCCACAAUAAGAUUGGCAGCACCUCUGCAGCACCAGGACGAAGAAGGUUUGAUCCCCGGCCCAGCAUAGUGGGUUAAAAGACAGAUUUGGCUCGGAUCUGAUCGCCGGCCCAGGGGCCAAAAAAGAAAGAAGGAAAAAGAAUCUAUUGGAGUUCUCCUGUGGUGCAGCUGGUUAGGGAUCUGGUGUUGUCACUGCAGACAAGGGUCACUGCUAUGGUGCAGGUUCGAUCCCUAGCUCAGGUAUGGCCAAAAAAUAAAUAAAUAAAUAAGGAAUCUAUCACUCAAGUCUGUUACUGAUAAUGUGUUCCCUUUUCUACAAGCAUAACAGAAGACCAAAUUCAUUUUUAUAGGAAAGAGGUUCUCAGUCCUAAUCUAAGCCCAGCCAACAACUCUCAAAUCAUAUAAAAGCUGCAGGUCUAUAAAAGCUGCAGGUGUUGGCUUUGAUUCCUAUGGCUUAGGAAGAAUCACAACAAUAGUACAUAACACAGCCAUGACAAGACUCAUUUAUGAUAAAGUAUACAUCCCUAAGCAUUCAACAUGGGGAAACAAGAAGAUUCAAAAUGUUAUCUUCUAUUUUCCCAGAGGACCUUGAGAAAUUCCCCCACUCUCCAAUGAUUAUUUCUUCAUAAGCAAAAUGAAAAUGUACUCAUUAAAAUGCCAAAGAUACUAUUUGAUUAACCAUCAAACAACUAUUUCCUAAAGUUACCAGGGACCUCAGCAAGUCAUCUUUGUCAUCUCCCUCAUUUCUUAACAAACACUUGCCUAAAUCACCCUAGAAAGAUAGUUACAAAGUCUUUGUAGUAUCUUGUAGUCAGGAAGUUCUUUCUAAUUUGUAAUCUAUAUCCCUUCUGUUGCAAUUAAAACACGUUCCCUCUCAUCUUGUCCACUCUGGAAAAAGAACAUCUGUUUAACACCACCUGAACAAUAUCUCUUCAAGAGAUUAUAAAAUAUAGGAAGUCCAUUUCAAACAGCUUCAUAUAAAUGCAACAUGGCUUUAAAUGGGUCACCUACACAAAGAGUAUGAUGAAAAGUCUUAAAUUCCCAAUUCCAUCACUGACUUGUUCUGAAGAUGACAGGAAGUUAAAACUAUACAGAUGGUGUACCUCAAAUAUCCCAUCAGUAAAAUGCAAAUAAUAAAACCAGUAUGUUAGGUAAACCCAAUUCCUCAAAAAGUUAAACAUACAGGAAAGAGAUUCUCAAUCCCAAUUUGAACCAGCUCUCACAUCACACACUAUAGAAACUGCAGAUGCUGGAGUUCCCUCAUGGCUCAGUG
rnacentral:lncRNA from 1 species